CUCCAACUCAUUUAGUCCAUUAUAAUUUUGUUCUCCACAGAUCAAGGUAAAUGGCAGCCAUCCUAUCAGCAAUGCGUUACGUAAGCCAUUAAACAUCAAUCUGAAUUCCUAAAUGUCCGUCUCGAAACUCGUAUGAUCAUGGAACCGGCAUCAGCUACACAUGCCUUAUUCGAUCUUUCUGACUCCACCUUGACCUCCUUCGAUCUCGAUGACGCAAGGGUUUCAAGCGUUGAUGCACCGGUACAAGCAAGACCAGCUCGAUCUCGCUCCCAUGAUGCUGCCUUCGACUCGGCAAAAGGCUCCGCAGUUGCUGAUGAGGAUUCUGAAGGAGAAUUAGGUGCGGUGUCGAACGCUGGGACAUGCUAUCAUCGCGAACAACCGGAGGAGGGUUCCGAGGAGGCCGAGGAUGACGACGGCGACUCCGUUACCGACCUUCUUCACGUGGAGACUGUAAGGCAGAAGAUUGAGGUGUUGGCUGCAAUGGUGGGCAUGGAAGAAUCAGAUGAACCUGGGGCGGUGUUGGGCGAGGUUGUGAAGGUUCUCAAGGAGUUGGAGAGGAAAGCAGAGCGUGUCGCUUGUAGGAUGGAAACAACAGAGGAAUAAACCCUGCACUGCAGGAUUCCAAUGCAUUGCAAUUGGACCAAAUGUAGCUUUAUGUUAUCUAUCCUGAGAAAAAUAUUGUUCCUUGA